rnacentral:rRNA from 1 species
CGACGAUCAGUAGGGGUUCUGAGAGGAUUAUCCCCCACACUGGUACUGAGACACGGACCAGACUCCUACGGGAGGCAGCAGUGAGGAAUAUUGGUCAAUGGGUGAGAGCCUGAACCAGCCAUCCCGCGUGCAGGAUGACGGCCCUAUGGGUUGNUAACUGCUUUUCUACGCCAAGAAAGGUCCCUACGUGUAGGGAAUUGACGGUAGCGUAGGAAUAAGCAUCGGCUAACUCCGUGCCAGCAGCCGCGGUAAUACGGAGGAUGCAAGCGUUAUCCGGAUUUAUUGGGUUUAAAGGGUGCGCAGGCGGGUUUUUAAGUCAGUGGUGAAAUACUGCCGCUUAACGGUAGAAUUGCCAUUGAAACUAGGAAUCUUGAGUGUGGUUGAGGUAGGCGGAAUGUGUAGUGUAGCGGUGAAAUGCAUAGAUAUUACACAGAACACCGAUUGCGGAGGCAGCUUACUAAGCCAUAACUGACGCUGAGGCACGAAAGCGUGGGGAGCGAACAGGAUUAGAUACCCUGGUAGUCCACGCUGUAAACGAUGUUCACUCGCUGUUUGCGAUACACAGUAAGCGGCUGAGCGAAAGCAUUAAGUGAACCACCUGGGGAGUACGAUCGCAAGGUUGAAACUCAAAGGAAUUGACGGGGGCCCGCACAAGCGGAGGAACAUGUGGUUUAAUUCGAUGAUACGCGAGGAACCUUACCUGGGCUUAAAUGUAGACUGCAUAGGAUGGAAACAUUCUUUCCCUUCGGGGCUGUUUACAAGGUGCUGCAUGGUUGUCGUCAGCUCGUGCCGUGAGGUGUCGGGUUAAGUCCCAUAACGAGCGCAACCCUUACCGUUAGUUGCCAACAGGUCAAGCUGGGGACUCUAGCGGGACUGCCACCGUAAGGUGAGAGGAAGGUGGGGAUGACGUCGAAUCAGCACGGCCCUUAUGUCCAGGGCUACACACGUGUUACAAUGGCCGGUACAGAGGGCAGCUACCACGCAAGUGGGUGCCAAUCCCGAAGCCGGGUCNCAGUUCGGAUUGGAGUCUGCAACCCGACUUCAUGAAGUUGGAUUCGCUAGUAAUCGCGC